CAAUAAACAUACGUUGUCAUUUGUAAACCUGUAUUCCCUACUUCAAUUGAGGAAGUCAUUUCCUCAUUUUUAAAGAAUUUGUUUUCCUAGAGAAAUAUUUUCCAAAAAUUUUGUCCAACCAAACAUGAAAAAAUAAGAAAACAUUUUUCUAAAAAAAAGUUUUCCUCCAUACCAAACACAUCGUAGAGCUUCUUCGUUUUCUUGUUUUUUCAAGUUUUCAAGAUCUCAUCGCAUUGUAUUGUAUCUAUUUGAUAGGUAUAAUUAAGUUUUCUUUUUUUCAAAGAAAAGUUUCAUUGAAAGCCACUUUAGAAGGAUGAGGAUGAGGCAUUACCCUAUGUACAAGCUUCUUUUCUUUUUAUUAGAUUGCCUUAAGCCAGUCUUUCUUCAAAACAAAGUGGUUAACAUGGUCAAAGAGUCAAACUGUCACUUUGCAAGUGCAUAGCAUGUGUUGUGUGGGUUAAGCACAAAUCACAGGUUCGAAUUCUGCUGCAAACAAAAAUUCGAUGAUUUAAAUGGAGAAGAAUAAAAAGGUGUCGCAGAGAAUGUCUUAAUGAUACUUCGUAUCUCAAUGUGUUUAUCAAUCAAAUAGAUGAUUAUUAAUCUAUACAACGGAAACAAUUAAUGGACUUGGAAUGUCACUUAUGAAGUUUGUUCUCUAUUUUCAUUAGAGAAGUUUUUUUUUCUCAUUUAAGAAACUUGUUUUCUUAGAUAAAAUAUUUUUUAGAACAUUUGGCCAACCAAAUUAAAGAAAUAUUUUUCUCCAUGCCAAAUACAUCAUAAAUCUCGAAUUCUUUUUAACCCACACGUGCUCAACAAAUUUUACCCGGAGGAUUAUUUUUUUUUUACAAAUUUGAGAAGAUGGUAGCAAGAAAAAUCAUUUCUUUUGGGUUCGAAGUUUUGAUGAUUUACAAGUUCACAGAUACACAAUACAAACAGACUAACUCAUUGAAAAAUCACAUGUAACGGAAGACAAGAGUGCUCGAAUGAAGGAAUGGAUAAUGGUUACAAUCUAAUAAACUCAAUGAAAUAGAUCAUGUGUUGAAUUGAGGAGUUGGAGUUUGACUACAACACUGAAAGAAGCAUGAGUUGAAUUAAAGGAGUCUUACUUGAAGUAGAAUGCAAGCAAUGAGAGUUCUGAUGAAACCAGGAGCUUGAUUCGAAGAAGAACUCUUUGAAAAGUUGUGUUUAAAUACAAGAAGUGUCAUUCAAAGUACUCACGCACUUACAAGGCAUCAGAGGCACUUUGGCAAUUGACUUGGUAGGGAGCUACUAAAUACUAAGGAACACAUUGGUGAACUAGGUCCUAGUACUAAGUAGGAUAAAGUGUCUUAGUCUUUAUGUAUUAGAAGUUGGUCACAGUGUUGUAAUGAUGAUGAAAUCUUAGUUUCAGAGAAUUAUAUAUGAGUUAGUUUUAUUGUAAAGUUAGGAAAUUCGAAGACUUGGAAUCACACACCUUGAUUGGAAGGCUUGUGAAUUGAGCAUAUUUAGGAGUUAGAGUUUAUAAUUUCUAAGUUACAAGAGUUUUGUAAUUCGUUGUUGUUGAUGCUCAAGUUGUUAUAGUGAAGUUUGGGUUAAAAAAGGUCUCUAUUUUUUACACCUCUUGAGCCGGGUAUGCUCCACUUGAAAAUAAUUGUCCUCUUAUGCUUACUGUUUUACUACCUUGUGGGAACGCAUUAAGUAAUCUACUCCACUGAUAGUCAACUCUGAAGUAAAAGUAAGUAAACCUCUAGGUCGUGUAGAUUAACAAUUGGUAAGUAGGUAUAUUGAAGUUACUCAUUUGUCAACUGUGAGUUUUUUGCUAUAACUGCUAAGCUUUCAUUUUCUUUUUGAUCAUGUAAUUGGUUUUACAAGCAACAAGUAAGUGUCGGCAUCACUUUUAAAUUUUUUUUCCAUCUUUUUUCGCCUUUUCUCUAACUUUAGUCUUUAUCAUACUUUGGAUCUUUAAUUACUAUCAUUAUCAUGAUCAAAUUCUUGAAUUUAACAGUGGUUGACUUGACGAAAAUGAAGGUGCAAGCUAGAGAUAGUUCAUAUGAUUCAAUGUUUUGGAAAAUUGAAAAUCUCUGAUCACUUGAAUGACUUGAUAGGAUAUUUUUUAUCAGAAAAUAAGUGAUGCUGAUUAUAUCUUCACAAGGUUACUACUAAACCAAAUAUCGUAUUUGUUAUUCCAGUGAACCUGAAGCUUUCACCUUGAUAUCAUGGAUGUGGAACAUUUAAAAGUGCUCUUGGUAUUAUAGUAGAGCUAAAAUGUUAUAAUAGAGAGACGGGUCGUACAUUACUUUUAUAUUAACAAUUUCUUUCUCAGUCUAAUAUAUGCAUGUUCAACUAUGGGCUUAUCUGUUUCAAUGUAUUAUGUAGUAUUUGGCUAUUUGCUGUACAAAUAAAGUACUCUGAUGGAAAACAACUGGAUCCCUAUCGAAAUAGCCAGCUCAUUCUUUGCAGUAACUUCAUGUACUAUUCUUGAUAAGGUUCUAUAUCUUUCAUAUUUGAUCUUACAACAUCUAUAUAUUUUCAUUGUUGUGUUAAGUUUUUAAAGGUAAAUAAUUUUUUCCCAUCUUCUUUUCAAUAAGAGGCGGAUCAUAAUUUUUUUCUACCUUCUUUUCAAUUAGAGGCGGAUCCAGGAUUUAAGUUUGUGAAUUUUCAAUAAAAUAAAAAUGGUCGUAUCAAGAAGAUUCAAACUUGGGUAUGGCAGGUGAGGCAUUUCUUCAACCCCUUUUGAACCAUUAGGCCAACUAACAACUUUGUUAAUGGGUUCUUCACUUAUCAUUCUUAUCCAUUUAAUAGAUUUUUAAUAUAAUUACAAGAUAUACGAAAAUGUUUGGGGGUUCCUGGGAACCCGCACCCGCAAUGCUAGAUCCACCCUUGUUUUCAAUUGAAUAUAGAAUAACAACAUUAACAACAUACCCAAUAUAUUCCCACCAAGUGAGACAAUUGAAUAUUAAAAUUACAUUUUUUACUGUGUAUAAUUUGAAGUUGAUUGUGCUAAAGAGACCAUCUUCCAAGCUUUGUGAAGGGAGUUCUUAAGCCUUUAAUAACUCUUUGUUAUCAUUUUCUUUAACUUAUCCACUGUCUCACAGGCCUUAUUUAUUUCUUAGUCUUUGAGCUUAUGUUUUUUUCCUACUACUCGGAUAUUGGAGGAUGUGACAUAUAUACAAAAGCACGAAAUCUGUAAAGCGAGUUACCUCUGACUCAUCAUGAGUUGUACAAGCAAAUUGGUAUAAAUCCUUCCCGUGGUGUGCUGCUCUGUCGUCCAUCAGAGGCACUGUGAAAACUAUGUUUGCAAAGGUUGUAGUACUCAUACCACUUUGGCCUUCAUAAAGGUAAAGAAGCAUUCUGGAAACAACUUAAUCUUACUUUCAAAUCAAAUGCCUAAUAGUAACAAAGUAGUUUAACAAUGUAAUGUAGUAUUAUGAGAGAAUUUUGUAUUAUUUUUGUGUUCUAGCAAAGUAGCUGUGACUCUUCCUCUCCCAAAGUAAAUCCUUCCGAAAGUUCAUAUAUUAAGUGCUUACUUUAUAAAAAUGUACAUUCUAAAUUUUUCUUGACAUUAACACUGUGUCAAUCCUUCACCAAGGAUCUACCAGAAAUAGUUGGGUAAAUGUGUACAUUAUAUCCUUUCAAAACUCCACUUGUGGGGUUAUAUUGGGCAUGUUAUCAUUGUUCUUGUUAUUGUA